CACCGCCCGUCGCUACUACCAAUCGAACGGUCCGGUGAGGUCCUCGGAUCUGGCAAACAAGUCCGCUUACGCGCGGCAGCGUUCCUCGACGGCGGCGCGUUCUCUGAUGGCCCGGAGAAGAUGAUUGAACCUGAUCGCUUAGAGGAAGUAAAAGUUGUAACAAGGUUUCCGUAGGUGAACCUGCGGAAG
rnacentral:ncRNA from 1 species